GAGCGGCCUCGGCAAACAGGUACUGCAGGAACUGCUCCCGCACGUAACCCGGUGAAGCGAUGACGACGCAACGCACUUGUUCUAAGUUUACCUGCUGGAGCAGUGCUCGCAUUACUGCCUCGAAAAAGCGUUCCAGCGCUUUAUCUCGCACGCCGAAAGCGGUUGCGGCGCGCUGCAACUUGCUGGGAACGUGCUGCUGGAUCCGCGCUCGAAGCAGCGUUGCAGUGCCGCUUACGAGACAGAGGUGCGCGAGUCCUUCCUCCAUGACGCAGAUCGCGAUGUCCGCGGACUUGCUGGGAUCACAGGCGGUUUCCAAGGUUCGUAGGUGGACGCGGUCGAACUGCGACUUGAUGAGAUCGAACCGAAGCCCGGUCGUUAUCUCGAGCGUGUGGUGCUGCUCUCGCUUCACAUACUCGUUUUCGGACACGUUCUUGCCCUGGAUCCGGAGGGAAGGUGCCUCCGUGUCAUAGUCAAUUCGUUGUACCCGGAUCGUCAGCACGAGUCGUACGCGUUCCGUGUGCCGAGCACUGGCGCGUUGCUCAGUCGCCCCCGCGAGAGCGACUUUUCGCCAGGUGGUUGUUCGCACCAAGUCGCCUUUGUCGAUGAGGUUAUAGGCGUGCCAGAGGUCCUCGCUGUUUUCUGGUAAGAGCGCAACUUCAAAGCGCUGAUCUUUCAGGCUCACACUGCGUCGGAGGAGCUUCAUACGACGCUGCAACGGGUGUCAACAACGCCAGCGUCAACCGCUUGAUGGAUACCUCGGGCUGUGCUUAAGUUCGCUGUAAACGCGGAACGAGAAUGCUUCGUCAAGCGGAAAUAUCUGCAGGACGUUCGAACCCGAUUCUAUAGAUCGGGUGGGUGACGCUCUUGAUAAAGAGACACCAAGAGCCGGCUUCGUAUGUGUAGGUAGACUGGUUACCUGGUUGCAUGGAAGCACGGAUUUGGUAAACACGCUUACUCGUAGCAGCGAUGGCUCGGUUUUGUGUGGUAUGUUCAGCUGCGCGCCUCAUAUGGAACACUUGUGAACAACAACUGGGGCAAUAGAAACGCUGCGGAGACGCAAACCUUAGAGCGGACACGGUUGGUGGACUUCCCGCACAGCUGCACGCACGACUUGACGUUUGUGUCGAGCUUGCUAUCCGCGAACGAGCUUGUUUACACGGUCAAAGGACUCAUCGGGGUCGACAAACGUCCGACUACCCGGUUACUCUAUCGAGUUUGCGAAUAUGCGUUCCAGAGCGCUACGUUAUGCUGCGAAAAGCCGCGUGUCACAGCACGAAGCGCUGCUCAGGGCACAGGUAGCUCGCUGCCGCGAGCGUAUCGGUUCACGACUCGCUGGAAAUCCCGUUCUAAUGCAAGUGGUUAGCUUCUUGGCGAGUCGCGGAGCUGCAGCGGUAACGCUGUUUGCUCCGUACGCAGACUCCGUGGCGUCCGCGCAGGCUCUCCGACCCGAACGCUGAAACCAGUACCCGUCAGGAAGCCUGCUGCAUAGAUGGAUAUGAAUCGGCAUGGUUACCUCGAGGGCAAGGCUACAUGCUGAUUGAUACAAUACGUUUGCUCGACGGACUCGAGCUUGCCAUUGAAUUCGUUAUGACACUAGGCUCGUAACAGCUGCAACGAAAUCACGAGUUUGCCCCAAGGUGCAGCAGCAGCAGCAGCGCUCACCCGGGUGCAGACGCGGGCUUGUUUCCGCGCGGCACCCGCGGUACGCUCGACGUCCAUAUGUUCCCUGAAUCGAUCAAGCCUAGCUUUCAGAGGACAAGGAAUGGACAGGAGCAGGUAGACCGUGAAAGCAUCCACAGAAGAAUCGAAAUCGCUUCGCUGGAAAUCGGUUCUAUUUGCAUGCAUGCGAGUGUUUGUUUCGAUGAUUCAUCGAGCGUAGAUUGUAAGAAACAGCGAGCGAGUCGCAUUUCGCGCGAGCAACUGUCCUGAGCUGGCGAUACGCACGAUCCUUGCCUUCAUCAGUCAACAUGGAAGCGGACUUUUAGGAUGAUCGCACAAGCACGGUAUCGGUGGCGAGCGAAUGAUCGUGAUGCCUCACGAAUCGCAUAAUCCGCACGCUUCAAGGAACUGUUCAGGGUGCUCCAGAAACGGUACAUGGCCACAUGCCGGAAUCACCCGGAAACUGACCUGAUGCUCCCGAGGCGCUGCCUUGUCCAUCACUUGAUAUGCUCGCUCAAGUUCAUGCACGCUGAUCAGCGAGUCCGUGGCUCCAGCAACGAUGCGGAUUCGGCCAUUCACACAACAUGGGAGUUGCUCGAGAAUAGACCCGCCAGUAGUCUCACCAUCUGAGGCCAGCGGGUGCACGCAACGCGCUGUGCGUUUCUUAUGCGAUACGGUUACGAGCGCUGCGAACGCCAGAUCAGCACUUUGUCCGCCACGACGUGUUGCCAAAGCGUACGUGUAGCGGCGGAGGUACCGCGAGCGAAAUCCCAAAUCGCGUCCGGGCCAUCGCAGCCGGAAUGCUAGAUAGCCAAGCACUCCGGCGUUUCGCAUGAUCAUUUGCGGCGUGAGCUGGAAGUACACCGCUCGUUUGUAGCUUUGCUUGGACCAGAUGCCUGCGGGCGUCACGAGCACGAGGUUCUGGACCAGCCCAUUCGAUGCUUCGACGGUGUAGCGGCUGGCAACGUAGGCGCCGAGCGAAUGGGCAACAAUGUCGAUACGUUUCCCGUUUUUGCGACACCAGCUUUCGAUGCCGGAACUGUACAGAAAUUCAGAGAUGCCACGAAUCAUAAAAUGGACAGCUACUUGGGCCCUCGCUGCGGUGUCCCUCGGGGCACGUCCUGUCGUGUAUGGCGGUCGAGACGAGCGCCCCCAUCCGAGCAUAUCGAUGGCGUAAACGACAUAGCGCCCGGUAGCGGCGAAAUCCGCGAGAACGUGUCGGAAGUAAGCAGAAGACAUGGAGUGUCCAUGAAUGAGCAGCAGAGGCCUCAAUUGAGGAUUUGUCCCCGAAAACAUGUCCUGCUCGUUGCCGGCCACCAGCACGUGCACAAAGGGCAAGGCCGCAGCUGGCGACCGGUUACCGCUUUCGGGGACUUGGGAGGAUGUGUCGCUUGAAACGCUCGACAUGGGUGUCCGCUCGAAUGACUCACUAUCGGCUACAUCCGUUAAAGGAG
rnacentral:misc_RNA from 1 species